rnacentral:rRNA from 1 species
GAUGAACGCUGGCGGCGUGCCUAAUACAUGCAAGUCGAGCGAACGGACGAGAAGCUUGCUUCUCUGAUGUUAGCGGCGGACGGGUGAGUAACACGUGGAUAACCUACCUAUAAGACUGGGAUAACUUCGGGAAACCGGAGCUAAUACCGGAUAAUUUUUUGAACCGCAUGGUUCAAAAGUGAAAGACGGUUUUGCUGUCACUUAUAGAUGGAUCCGCGCUGCAUUAGCUAGUUGGUAAGGUAACGGCUUACCAAGGCAACGAUGCAUAGCCGACCUGAGAGGGUGAUCGGCCACACUGGAACUGAGACACGGUCCAGACUCCUACGGGAGGCAGCAGUAGGGAAUCUUCCGCAAUGGGCGAAAGCCUGACGGAGCAACGCCGCGUGAGUGAUGAAGGUCUUCGGAUCGUAAAACUCUGUUAUUAGGGAAGAACAUAUGUGUAAGUAACUGUGCACAUCUUGACGGUACCUAAUCAGAAAGCCACGGCUAACUACGUG